UUCGGCCUCGCACUGUUUCUUUCAGUGCCCCCUGCACGCCGUCGCCGACGCACCUCAAUUCGAAUUAGUACGCGAUCCUGUCGCCUUCUCUGCGGCGCGGC
rnacentral:ncRNA from 1 species